GCCUCUCGCCCAAAGGCCUAUAUCGACAGGUUCCGACUCCUGGUCGAACGGAUCGACCAAAUGUGGAUGUUGAGGCUGAUGAAACCGCCUGCGAUGGCCCUGCUGGCCCCGACCACCUUGAUGAUAAGAACCUCGGCUGCGCACACCGAGAGGGUUUCAAUCCGUGCGUCCUCUAAAUGGCCUUCGGUGCUCUGCCUCGUAAUGGUCCACUGCAGAAGCGAAUUGAGGCUAGUGAAAAAUUACGUAUUGAUUCGGCCAGAGGUACGC
rnacentral:lncRNA from 1 species